UUUUGUGGUGGUUUUCUUUCUGGCACAUUCGUUAAAUUUUCAAGUGGGCCUAACUCUGCCACAUAUAUAGGAGCUGGCAAAGACUUGAUGACAAAGAGAUCUGCCUUUCCUCCAUCAGAGAUGGCUCCCACAGUG
ensembl:snoRNA